AUUUGUCACAAUAUACUAAGCCAUACUGUCUAAAAACAUUAAGGCAAAUGCAAGUAAGUUUCUCAUAAACAAAACGAGAGUUUUAACGUUUAGAAUUGGCAUUAAUUCCAGAUGACCACUAGGGGUCAUUGUAUCUGUUUCAUGUUUCUUUGGACAGUAUUAUGAAGCUUUGCCCUGUGUUUUUUUUUUUUUGUAAACCUUGUCUUCCUCUUUUUAUUGUCAUGUGAUUCAUUAUCUUCAGUAUAAAUAGCCCAGUGUUGGUUCUGGACUUUGUCUAGUGUUGUACCUGUAUGAUCAUGUUUUCUGGUUCAGCUGCCAUGGAUACUGUGAAGACUUUCCUCACUAUCCUUUAUGUGCUUCUAUACAGCGGUUUCUGCUCAGAAAUGAAUUGUAAUGAUGGAGAAUGUAAACCCGUUAAGGACACCACACAAGUAUUCUGUGAGUGCCAUAAGAUGUACCGCGGUCCAGCUUGUAUUACUGACUAUCCCACUCUUGAAAGUAAAAUCAAUGGUAUGAUAUAUAAACCAGUCCCUGAUCUGACAACAAUUUAUUUUAGUGUCAAGGAGCUGAAGGACUACACACAAGAAAUAGUUGAGUCUGUCCAACAUGACAUCCAGUGGUCACAAAUAGUUGUGAAAUACAGCAAUGUGAUUCAUAAAUUUAGAAACAUCAGCACAUUACAUACACAACUUAAAAAUGGUACAAUAACCCAACACCACUAUGUGUCUGAAGUUGGAGCUCAGUUCACAGGGGGAAACUCUUUUCAGUUUCAUCUCACAGGCUUUCACCACAUGAUGAUGGGCACUGGAUUUGGAGACAAACACAACAUUCUGGAUAUUUUUCACAAGUCGCUGGUCCAGGACUCCCAAAAACAGUCUGCUGAGCCAGUAGAGUGCACAAAAUACUACACUGACCAGAUUGAUUAUUUUGUGCGCUACAUGUUUGCCCUUGAAAAGGAAGCUGUUUUAGCUUGGUCGAAAUAUUUAAUGGUCACUGGAAAAUCAGAGAACUUUGAUUUUGUUGAGAAGGUUUUUAAGGACUAUGUCUCACAGCAGUGGAGACUCUUCAAUGAAAAUGGAUGUGGCCCUCUAAAGGCUGCAGAUCUUCAGAACAACCAUUGCAAGGAGCAGUACCACAGCACAGCCCAGCAGCAGGUGAAAAUUAAAUGUGGUGGAUUAUUGAAGCCCUUCCCCGAGGCUGUGGGGUGUUCUGGAGGACAGUGGAGCGCUUUACCUGUGUGCUACUCUGAGCAGGUAAAUGGGCGAGUUGAGUGCAAAUCUGAAGGUGGAGUCACCGUCUGUAAGGCCUCAUGCUCGCCUGGCUGGGGCUCUGCCACACACCCUCUGCCUGCUGAGUAUAAAUGCCCAAAGCCACCAUGUCCAUCCUUCACACCACACAAGUGUAACAAUUGCACACAGAACAGUGUGUGUAAGGACCAUGAGGUCUGCACUGGCUCCUUUGGCACAUGUCUUGACACAUGCCUGGUUAAACCCUGUGGAGUGAACGCCAAAUGCUUGUCCUCCAAUCAUGAUAGGAGCUGCACUUGUGUGAGCCCGUGGAAAGGAGACCCAUACCAGGGCUGCAGGAGUCAAGACCUCCAGUGGGUUCAGACCGAAGGAGUGCCCAGCAGUAUGCAAACUCUUUUACUUUACCUAUACUCGCAUUAGAGGCUGAUCCUCUCAAAGCAUUGGGCUUGAUUAACCCAUAAAUCAUUGUGGUUUACAGAUGCUGUUCGUUCUAAUGCCCAACUUGUGGUAUGCAAAGCCAUUGGACCUGACAGCGGGUGGCACAGUGGGUUUGUAAAGGAUCAACGCUGUAAUUAUGAAUAUGAUGGAAGAAAGCAUCAGGCCAAUAGCUAUGAGGUACUACAUGAGUAGUGCAAUACUGUUAAGAAGCUGAACUAGGAUUGUAAUCUAAGAUGGUUCUGAUUUCUCUAGCCUUCCUCUUGGUGUGUCUGUUAGAACACAGGUGUGGAUCAGGUGGUCAACUUCAAUCAAAGGGGUUUAUUUAACACUGAAGAUUUAUUUGAGUGUGUGUGUGGUUCAAUAAAACAGAAAUAAAGAAAUAAUCA
ensembl:lncRNA